rfam:Gossypium arboreum cultivar AKA8401 contig_14233_5, whole genome shotgun sequence.
AAACCAUGCAUCAGGCAUUUUCUCAUUAGCUCCUUAAAUCGCUCCCAUGCUUCAUAUAUUGUUUCAUCCUCUGAUUGUCUAAAUGAUGUAAUGUCAUUCCUCAACUU